AUUGAACGCUGGCGGCAGGCCUAACACAUGCAAGUCGAACGCGUGGCGGACGGGUGAGUAAUGUCUGGGAAACUGCCUGAUGGAGGGGGAUAAAUACUGGAAACGGUAGUUAUUACCGCAUACCAUCAGAUGUGUCCAGAUGGGAUUAGCGAGUUGGGGGGGUAACGGCUCACCAAGGCGACGACCCCUAGCUGGUCUGAGAGGAUGAGCAGCCACACUGGAACUGAGACACGGUCCAGACUCCUACGGGAGGCAGCAGUGGGGAAUAUUGCACAAUGGGCGCAAGCCUGAUGCAGCCAUGCCGCGUGUGUGAAGAAGGCCUUCGGGUUGUAAAGUACUUUCAGCGAGGAGGCGUUACCCGCAGAAGAAGCACCGGCUAACUCCGUGCCAGCAGCCGCGGUAAUUC
rnacentral:rRNA from 1 species